ACGGGGGUUGCGAGCGUUGUCCGGAAUUACUAGGCGUAAAGGGCAGGUAGGCGGAUAGAUAAGUUUGAUGUUAAAGGCGACGGCUCACCCGUCGUAAGGCAUUAGAUACUGUUUAUCUGGAAUGCGGUUGGGGAAGACAGAAUUCCUGGUGUAGCGGUGGAAUGCGCAGAGAUCAGGAGGAAUACCAAAGGCGAAGGCAGUCUUCUAAGCCGUUAUUGACGCUAAACUGCGAAGGUGUGGGUAUCAAACAG
rnacentral:rRNA from 1 species